rnacentral:rRNA from 1 species
CGGCAACAGCUCAAAUUUGAAAUCUGGCGCAAGCCCGAGUUGUAAUUUGUAGAGGAUGUUUCUGGCGACGUGCCUUCCGAGUUCCCUGGAACGGGACGCCAUAGAGGGUGAGAGCCCCGUACGGUUGGAUGCCUAGCCUCUGUGAAACUCCUUCGACGAGUCGAGUUGUUUGGGAA